CUGGAAUUUCACUGCCAUAUUUGAAAGGCUCAUAUAAACAGACAGCCAAAAUACUACCACAUUAGAAAUAACGUAACUGUGGGAGAAUGUUAUAAACUACUGAGCCAAAAGACACCCAAAUUGUACAAAGGCAGGUUAUUUGUCACAAAAGGAGACUUGGACCAUCCUGAUGAGAUAAAUUACCGACUGCUCUCAUAACUAAAAUCAAGUGAAGCCUGGACUUAAUUUUGCCUGGCGAGGAAAAACUAAUUGGUGGUGUGGAGGGGAUAGGAACGGCAGGAGAAAGCCCCUUUGUCAUCCUCAACUUGGACUUGGCACAUGAGAUGGGUUUUUAAACUGAAUAUGGAGAAUAAAUUAUGAGAAGUGGGAAUUUCAGCCCAAGAUAGAUAAAGGAUUAGUAAACUAACUCCAAGAUAUUUAAAAUGAGGCCAGAUAAAUUAUGUACCAGGGUGGUAACAGAAUUUUCACCAUAAUCUCAGAGGUACUAUUUGGUAGUCUUUGGAAAGUCAUGACAAAUAGGAGAGAUACUGCAAGACCACAGGAAAAAUUGGCAUUUCUGUGCCUUUGAACAUCUUGGCACAGAGUACCCCAGAGGUACACACCUUAUCUUCACCCAAGUCAAUUAUAAAAAUCUCAAAUAGAAUAGGGUAAAGGACCGAGACCUAUGGCUUUCUAUUAGAGACUAUUUCAUACUGUAUGAAGCCAUCAGUGAACACAUUUAUAUAAUAGGUGAAGAAAGCAAAUCUUGAAAAUUAUCUUAAUAAGAUGGCAUAUUAAAGCUAACAGGGAUAAAUGUAAAAUUUUGUGUUUGGAUUAGCAUAAAUAUGGGUGCUCAAGUAAAAAAAAAAUCUGUGACUUUAGUUGGUUACAAGCAUUCUAUGAACCAAUAGAGUUAUGUAUAGUAAUUGCUAAAAAUGCUAGUGUUAAGAUACUUUAAUAUAAGUAAUAGUUAGAUUAAGGAAGAAAAGAGUUCCACUAUACUCUGAAUUAAUAGACCAUUUCUACAGGAUCAGGUUUAAUUUUGGGUGCCAAAUUUAAACAGUUAUGAACAUUGAUAACAGCUAUGGACAUCCAUAGGAAGGCAACUAAGAUCACCAAGCAUCUGGAAACUUAAUCGUGCCUGAAAGGAUUAAGGACCUGGAGCACCGACUGUGGGGAGACCAGACUAGCUUAGUGCAGCACAAGGCACUAACUUUUGCCCUGGAGGACUGUGCUUAGGAGCAUCUGCUUAGGUUGUUAAAAUGGAGGCUACUGGGUUCUACAGGUAGAAAUUCGAAUUCAGCAGCCUGGGGCCUUGGAAACCGCAAUCUGACACUCACCCCAAGGGAAUGAUGCAGGUGGUAUAAUGACUUUGAGAAACACUGUUCUCUGCAGUGGAUGUAGAAGCAAUAUUGUGAUUACAAAGAAGCAGAAUGGCUCCACAUUAAAAGCAAGCAACUUCUUUUUUGCCAAUAACCAGAGUUAAAAAACUGUAGAGUAAGCUAUAUUUCAUAAUAUUAGGACAUUCAUGGAUAUUCCAGAAGUCAGGAAUGAUGCAAAGACACACCGAAGGAUGUUGCAGACUAAAAGUUCAGUCAUUU